AGAUCUCCAGAUUUUUCUUCUUUCGGGGAGUGGUCUCACCCCACACCCCUGUCUCCGUCUUCUCCCUGCCCCCGACCCACCUCCGCCUCGAUCUCCUCGCCGGUGCCGCCGUCCAUGCACCUGCUCCGCCUCUCGCGGCCCCUGCCCUUCCCGCACCUCCGCCGUCGCCGCUCCCCGCCCAAACCCCUCGCCCUCACCCGCCCGUCGUAGACCCCCCUCGCCUACGCCGACGGCGUCGACCGAAAUGAUGCUUCGGAGCAGCGAGGAGGCUGCGACGGUGGGCAGGGGAAGCACUAUCGCGGGGUUAGGUAGUGGCACGGGCCAACAUCGCGGUGGAGAUCCGUGACCUGGCCAAGAACGGCGCAGGCGUAUGGUUCGAUCGCCGUGGCCGCGGCCACGACCACUGCCCCUGCCCCCUGCCCCAGCCGUGAAGAGAAGCGGCUGUCCCACGAGCUGACUGUGGGCUCCGACUCUUCUUCCCCUAUGUCGUCAUCCACUCAUCCUCAUCCGGGACUCCCAAACGGAGGAAGUGAGAGGAGUCCGCGGCCGCGGCCGCGACUGCGACCAUGACCGCACAGGUUCAACCAACCUAGCUACUCUCUCCUCUGACGGCCCAGGUUUGACGCCCAAUUCAGCAAAGCCCCAGUUCCUCAAUGCGUACUCAUGCUUAGAUUUUCCAUUAGUCCGAUUUAUUCAUGGACGGAUGGCAGGAUGAAAAAAAGGUUUGCUGGUGUGAUUUGGGUUGCAUUGAUAUUCUAGAUCGCAGAUUAGUUCCUGCACAAAUAGCAUCUCCAGAUCACUGUCAUUACAAUCAAUUUUGAUAUGAUCGUGGAUCAUAGGCCAUGGUGUUCGUUCAGGCUUUAAUUUUAGCUCACUGUUGUCAUUUGUUUGCUUAAUGCUUUGCAGAGCCUAUUGAAAUUGAUGUUAAUUUUGCUGCACAUAUAUACUUUUCCCACAGAAAAAAAAGUCCUCUGGUUUAGCUUCUGUUUUCUCAGAACAAGAUCAAAAGGGACUUCGUCCUUUAGUUUUUAAAUUUGAAAUCAGUAGCUCAGGAUGGAACAAAAAAAAAUUGUCAAUCCAAAUGAAUUCUAUAGCAUUACAAAUAAAUGAGCAGUCCUUGUGGUGCGUCUCAUUUGAUCAAGGCUUGUUUGCUUUAGAACUUCAGGCUUUAGCCUCAUGCAUCUGAUAGGUGAAUCUUUUUAUGCUUAUUUAGGAUUUUUUUAGAUUCAGCAAGGACCACUGUAUCUAUUAAAUUACCUGUGGUCCUUGAUCAUAUCCAUGUUGCAAAUUUUUUUUCAUGCUAACAAAGCAUUUGGAUGAAGACUUUCAUUCAACUUUUAAUUCAUCAUUUGCAAUUGUUAACUUUUUUCCCCACAACUGAAGGCUUCUUGUCGUGUGACGAAGCCUGUACAAGUUCUGAUAACAUGAGCCACCAAGAAUACCUUUUGAGAGGAAUCUGUAUCACUAUACCUAUGGUAUGUUAAAAUCUAUACUUGCUGAUAUACGUGCAAUGGGUACAGUUUUCAUCAGCUCUAUGUUUUGUUCUGAUAUUGUUCCUUAGUUUCCUUGCAUAUAGGGUAAUUGUGAAAACUGAAAGCUAUAUCUUCAUGCUGUAAUUUCUUAAAGUGUUGGCGGUAACUGUAUCUAAAAUCUGUGCAAAAUAGUCCUAGCUUGUAUAGCGGAUCAUGAAGCUAAAGUGCUGUGGCUUGGGUUAUUAACUUCUGUGCAUACUUUAUAGGUUAUCUUAUUCUUCUGUCGUUUCAGCAUCUAGGACUAAAGGAUGAAGUGGUGUAUAUAAUUUCUUCUGCUGUUUCAGCAUCUACUUAAAUGUAGUCUCAUCUCUUAUUUCCUACAGGUAUGCAGGCAGCGUGCUUCGCAUAUUCAAGGAGGUUGAAAUCUUGCAUAUUCUAUUGACAGCUCCGUGUUCAGCAGUGGCUCUGACCCCGAUUUGCAAGUGUGAAACCUAUAGCACAAUUGAUCAAGGACUAAAUGGAUACCUGAAAGUCUCCCUCCCUCCCUCCCUCCCUUGAUUGUGUGAUGCUGGCUUAAAAUGUUUUACAGACUGAUAUUGUAUAACUCCAUUGCAGGUGCAACAAACCUCCCAUGUGAUGCUCUGCUUAAAAUGCUUUACAGAUACUUUAUAGCUCCAUUGCAAAUACAAAACACAAAGUAAUACUAUUCUAAAUUGUGGCAU